rnacentral:rRNA from 1 species
UUUUUAUGGAGAGUUUGAUCCUGGCUCAGGACGAACGCUGGCGGCGUGCUUAACACAUGCAAGUCGAACGGUAAGGCCCUUUCGGGGGUACACGAGUGGCGAACGGGUGAGUAACACGUGGGUGACCUGCCCUGUACUUCGGGAUAAGCCUGGGAAACUGGGUCUAAUACCGGAUAUGACCUUCUCCUGCAUGGGGGUUGGUGGAAAGUUUUUGCGGUACAGGAUGGGCCCGCGGCCUAUCAGCUUGUUGGUGGGGUAAUGGCCUACCAAGGCGACGACGGGUAGCCGGCCUGAGAGGGCGACCGGCCACACUGGGACUGAGACACGGCCCAGACUCCUACGGGAGGCAGCAGUGGGGAAUAUUG